rnacentral:rRNA from 1 species
AAGGUAACGGCUUACCAAGACGAUGAUGGGUAGGGGUCCUGAGAGGGAGAUCCCCCACACUGGUACUGAGACACGGACCAGACUCCUACGGGAGGCAGCAGUGAGGAAUAUUGGGCAAUGGAGGCAACUCUGACCCAGCCAUGCCGCGUGCAGGAAGACGGCCCUAUGGGUUGUAAACUGCUUUUGUACGGGAAGAAACACUCCUACGUGUAGGAGCUUGACGGUACCGUAAGAAUAAGGAUCGGCUAACUCCGUGCCAGCAGCCGCGGUAAUACGGAGGAUCCAAGCGUUAUCCGGAAUCAUUGGGUUUAAAGGGUCCGUAGGCGGCCUUAUAAGUCAGUGGUGAAAUCUCCUAGCUCAACUAGGAAACUGCCAUUGAUACUGUAGGGCUUGAAUUUUUGUGAAGUAACUAGAAUAUGUAGUGUAGCGGUGAAAUGCUUAGAUAUUACAUGGAAUACCA